GCCCGGAUAGCCUUGCGGUUAAGGUGUUCUAUUCAUAAUAGUUCUACCCGGGUUCGAGUCCCCGUGGGUG
rnacentral:tRNA from 1 species